CAUUCACAAAGGUCUUAACAGAAAACAUACCUGAAAAUCCUCAAUCUGCGUCGCGCCCUGCUAGAAAAAAAAGAAAAGACAACAUUAGACAUACACAAAGGUCUUAACAGAAAACAUACCUGGAAUUCCUCAAUCUGCGUCGCGACCUGCUAGAAAAAAAGAAAAGACAACAUUAGACAUACACAAAGGUCUUAACAGAAAACAUACCUGGAAUCCUCAAUCUGCGUCGCGCCCUGCUAGAAAAAAAGAAAAGGCGCACAUUAGACAUACACAAAGGUCUUAACAGAAAAACAUACCUGGAAUCCUCAAUCUGCGUCGCGCGCCCUGCAAAAAAAAAAAAAGGCCACACGACCUAAAGGAAAAAAAAAAGAAACCAUUAGACAUACACAAAGGUCUUAACAGAAAACAUACCUGGAAUCCUCAAUCUGCGUCGCGCCCUGCUAGAAAAAAAGAAAAGCAACUUUAGACAUACACAAAGGUCUUAACAGAAAACAUACCUGCGAAUCUCCAAUCUGCGUCGCGCCCUGCCAGAAAAAAAGAAAAGACAACAUUAGACAUACACAAAGAUCUUAACAGAAAACAUACCUGGAAUUCCUUAAUCUGCGUCGCGCCCUG
rnacentral:lncRNA from 1 species